AUCCAGCUGACAACUAGUCCCAAAUAGGACGAAAUGCGCAUCCUGGAU
rnacentral:hammerhead_ribozyme from 1 species